rnacentral:snRNA from 11 species
AGCUUUGCACAGUGGCAGUAUCGUAGCCAAUGAGGUUUAUCCGAGGCACGAUUAUUGCUAAUUGAAAAAUCUUGGAUAUUAAACCCUUCCUGAUAUGUGGUUUGUGAAUUUUUUCUCACUCUAUAGGUGA